UACUCUCACACCCCCCGAUCUUUGGAUUAGGGGGCGGUGGACGUGGGUGUUGCUGCUUUCGUGUGGCUCACCUGAAAUAUGUUCGUGCAUCUCUUGGUUGUACAUAGUACGGCGUGAUAAGUGUCUUCGCCGGCACCUUGGAAAAGGGUGGCCAAUCGGGAGCUCUGUGCUUUCAAACCGUCUUCGGACAAUCUCUGACAAC
rnacentral:misc_RNA from 1 species